rnacentral:rRNA from 1 species
GACGAACGCUGGCGGCGUGCUUAACACAUGCAAGUCGAACGGAAAGGCCCCCACCUUGGUGGGGGUGCUCGAGUGGCGAACGGGUGAGUAACACGUGGGUGAUCUGCCCUGUACUUCGGGAUAAGCUUGGGAAACUGGGUCUAAUACCGGAUAGGACCAUGGUUUAGUGUCUCAUGGUGGAAAAAUUAUUGUUUUGGUGCAGGAUGAGCUCGCGGCCUAUCAGCUUGUUGGUGGGGUAAUGGCCUACCAAGGCGUCGACGGGUAGCCGGCCUGAGAGGGUGGACGGCCACAUUGGGACUGAGAUACGGCCCAGACUCCUACGGGAGGCAGCAGUGGGGAAUAUUGCACAAUGGGCGCAAGCCUGAUGCAGCGACGCCGCGUGAGGGAUGACGGCCUUCGGGUUGUAAACUCCUUUCGUUAGGGACGAAGCCACACCUUUUUUGGGUGUGGUGACGGUACCUUUGUUAAGAAGCACCGGCUAACUACGUG